rnacentral:tRNA from 1 species
UAAAAUUUUUUUUAAAAAAAAAUAAUACUAAAAUUAGUAUAUUAGUAUGUAUAUUGCAACAUAACGAAAUAUAACUGAAUAUUAAAACAUUUUUUAAAGGAUUUUCUUAUCUACUAAAUAUUUAUGAAAAUUAAAAAAAAUUAAAAGAUAAAAAAACCAUAAUUUUAAAAAUUAUACUAUUUAACAUUUUUUUUUUAAAAAACACUAAUACAUUAUUAACGUUAAUAUUCUAAUUAUUAAUAUUGA